GGCAGUGAGAAUGUGAUGCCUGGAUACAAAGACUGCACAGGUUACAUUUUUAUAAAUGGCUUCAGUGGAUUCAUUAGUGCCCUGCCCCGAAAUACAGUGUGAGGAUUUUUAACUGACUAAAAGGAAAAGAACGUUGUUGCCUUUCAAGAGCUGAGUCUCAAGCUCAUUUUCUUUUUUCAUUUUCUUUUUGUUUGGUGCUGGAGAUCAAGCCCCCAGGAAAAGAUUGGACACUAAGAAGAUACUCAAAUGCUACACUGAGGAGGCUGAAGAUGGGUAUAAACAUCCAAACAUAACCAAACACAGGGACACAUCCAGUGAGAUUCUAACCAAAGAGAUCUACACAGUAGGGAUAGAGUCUUUUUACCUUAACUGAUUUUCAACUUGCACAAUAAAAACAACAGAAAUAUGGGAAAACAAGAUAGCAAGAUGCCUCCAAAAGCCCUUAGCCUCUCAGAAGCUGAUCUCACUGACACUGAAGCAGAGGAAAUUACAGGCAAAGAAUUUUUUAAAAAGUCAAAAUGUUUGAAGAGCUCUAUGUGAAACAUAUAAGCAAUUUCAUUAGAUGGUUGGCAGACUUAAAAAGGAUUUUAUUAGUGAAUAAAAGAUUUCACUAAUAAAAUGUUUGAAUGACUUAAGAAACCAAACAAUAAACUAAUUGAGUUAAGUAAGACAAUAUAAGAAAUAAAUGACCAGUUUAGUAAAGAAUUAGAAAUUACGAAGAAAAUGCAAAGAGAAAUACAAGAUAUGAAAAAUUCAAUAGAAAGCAUGGCUGACAGAUUGAAUCAACAUAAGGAAUAGAGUGUCACAAAUUGAAGAUAAGGUGGAUGUAGUAGAUCAUAAACUCAAGACAACAUGUAAUCUGGAUCCAACAGCUGCUAGAUGACUAAAAAAACCCCAAAUACCUGAAUUAUAAGAAUAAAGAGAAAAUUAGAAGGCAACACAAAAAGGAUAAAAAUUUAUUCACUGAAAUCAUAGCCGAAAAAUUUCCAAAUCUAGGGAAAGGAUUCAACGUUCAAGGAUAGCAACAGAACUCCAAGAAGCUAUAACCAGAAAAGAACUCUGUAUUAAUUCCAGAAAUUCAACCAAAAAUUCAACAACAACAAAAUGAGAACAAAAAAAGUUUUUGGAGAAAAGCAGCAAGUUAUUUAUAAAGGCAAACCUAUUUGAAUUACAUCAGCUUUCUCAGCACAAACCUAAAAAGGCCAGGAGAGCUUGGGACAAAGCAUUUGUGUACGUGUGUGUGUGUGUGUGUGUUUGUGUGUGUUUGAGACAAGGUCUCACUGUGUAAUUCAGCCUGGCCUUGAGCUCACUAUGUAGCCCAGGCUGGCCUUGAACUUGCAGCAGUCCUCCUUCCUCAGACACCUGGGUUCAGGAUUACAGGCAUGCACCAUCACACUCACUGAGACAAAAAUUUUUAAUGCCUAAAAGAAAUCAGUCAUCAACUCAGACUUUUAUAUUCUGCAAAAUUAGGCUACAAAAUUGACAGAGAAGUAGACUUUCCAUGAUGAAGAAAUCCUAAGGAAAUAUACAUGACCACUAAACCAGCAUUGCAGAAUAUACUCAAGGGAAUGUAGACCGAGAGGGGGAGGCCACCAGCACCAAAUAAUGCAAAGGGAAGUACUUAUCUAACUGGGAGAGUAGUUAUAUAAAAAGAAAAAAACCCCACAAAGGAAUCAUCACAGGAAAAAUAAUGCAAUGACAGGAUUCAGUAAACACCUCACAAUAAUAACUGUCAAUAUCAAUGGUUUUAAUUUCCCACUCAAAAGAUACAGCCUGGCAGUUUGGAUCAAAAACCAAAAUGCACCCAUGUAUUUCUUACAGAAGACACACCUCAUCUGGAAGGAAGAUCAUAGACUUAAGGGAAAAGAAUGGAAAAGAUAAUCCAUGGAACUAGAGGAUAAAAACACGCAGCAAUAGUUCUUUUGGUUUUAGCCACAGCAGACUUCAAGCUACAAAGAUGAUACAAAGAUGGCCACUACCUACUGGUAAAGGAAACAAUUCACAUGAGAAGAUAACAAAUCUAUCUGUAUCUAUCUAUACCUGUACACCAAAUGUUGGUACAGUCAACUUCAUAAAAAAAAAAAAAAGCACGGAACAUAAAAGAACAGAUAGCCACCAAUACAGUGGUAGCAGAGGACUUCAACACUCUCACAAUUAGGUCAACCAGACAAAAAUUAACAAAUAUCAGUUAAACCAUACCAUUGAAUAAAUGAACUUAACAGAUAGAUGCAGAGUGUUUAAUCCAACAAUAAAAUACACAUUUUUCUCAGCAGCACAUGGGAUUUUUUUCCAAAAUAAACCAUAUCUUAGGCCACAAAGCAUACUUAAAUAAAUACAAAAGAAUUAAAAGAAUUUGCUGCAUACUAUCAGAUCAUAGUAGAAUGAACACAGAAAUGCACAACAAAAGAAGCCACAGCAGUUCCACAAACACAUGGGCAUUAAACAAUACAUUACUGAAUUAUCAGUGUGGCACAGAAGAAAUCAGGGAAGAUAUGAAAAAAGUUCCUAGAAGCAAAUGACAAUGGAAGCACAAUAUGCCAAAAUCUAUGAGACACAAUAGAAGUUGUUCUCAGAGGCAAGUUUAUAGCUGUGAAUCCAAACAUGUAUCAAGAAAUGCCAAAUACAUAACCUAGUGAUGCAUCUCAAGGCCCAUAAAAACAGGAGAAAUCCAAUCUGAAAUCAAUAGGAGGAAAGAAAUUAUAAGGAUCAGAGUAGAAAGUAAUGAAAUUGAGAUAAAAAUACAAAAGAUCAAUUAAUCAGUCAUUUUCUUUGAAAGGAUAGACACGAUUGAUAAACUUUUAACCAAACCUAUCAAGGAGGAGGAGGAAAAUACUACUAUCAAUGAAAUUAGAAGUGAAAAAUGUGAUAUUACAACUGACACUGCCAAAAUCCAGAAGAUUAUUAGAAAGUACUUUCAAAACUUAUAUUCCAAUAAAUUGGAGAAUCUAGAAGAAAUGGAGAAAUUCCUAUACACAUAUGCAUUACCAAAAUUUAAUUAAGAAGAUAUAAAAACUGAGUAGAUCAAUAACAAGUAAUGAAAUACAGGAAGUAAUAAAAACUACCAACAAAAAAGAGCCUACUGUCUGGUGGAUUCAGUGCAGAAUUCUAUCAGAACAUCAGAGAAGAUCUAACCCCAGUACUUCUCAACCUCUUCAAUGAAAUUGAAAGGGAAGGAGUAGUGCCAAGCACAUUCCUGAAAGGUAGCAUUACCCAGACAUCAAAACCAAACAAGGACUGAACAACAACAACAACAACAACAUCAACAACAAUAACAACAACAACACUGCAGACCAACCUCCUUAGUGAACAUAGAUGCAAAAUCCUUAACAAACAGUAUAAAACAAAGCAUUGGAAACAUCAUACAUCAUGAUCAAGUUGUCUUCAUCCCAGUGACAUAAGGAUGGUUCAACAUACAUGAAUCAAUAGAUGUAAUACAUCACAUAAAAUAAAGGACAAAGAUCACACGAUCAUCUCAAUAGACACAGAAAAAGCCCUUGACAAAAUCCCAACAUCUGUUCAUGAUAAAAAGUGAUGAAAAUACAUAUAGAAAUACCUUGUAACUGGUAAAAGUCAUUUAUGACAGACCCACUGCCAACAUGACAGUAAAUGAGGAAGCACUGAAACCUUUUUCUGCAUAAUUAGAAACAAGAGAAGGAUGUCCUCUCUCAUCACUUCUGUUUAAAACAGUAUUUGAAACAUUAGUCACAGAAUUCAGGAAAGAGAAAGAAAUAAAAAGGAUGUAUAUAGGAAAUGAAGAAGUCAAACUAUCGUUAUUCACAAGUGAUACAAUCCUUUACAUAGAAGACCAAAAAAAUUCUAUGGAUACAAAAUAAAUACUAAAAAAUCAAUAAUGUUCCACCAUCAAUGAUGUUCCACUGUACACCAACAAUGAAUAUACAAAUAAAGAAUUUAGAAAAAAAUUGGAUCUGAUUUAUAAUAGCUUCAAAAACAUUAAAUACUUAGAAUCAACCUAACUAAAGAAGUAAAGGACCUCCAUCACAAAAACUAUAUUAUCCUGAAAAGGAAAUAUAAAAGGACUUCAGAAAAUGGAAAGUCAUCCCCUGUUCCUGGACAGGCAGUCCUCUAUGAUUCACCUCUUCAGAUUUAGAAAACUGUGUUUUCUGCCCAAAUCCAGCGAAACUGGAGGGAGUAGGACACUUUUCCCAGGUUAUUCUCUAUCCUUGAGUCAUUGUGCAGUGUCUGCUUUCACUGGUCUGUGGAUCAUUGCCCUUUAUGCAGUGGCUCAUGCCAGCCAAGGCCCUGGGACUCUCCAGCAUCAUUUACAUGUUUGUUGCAACUGUUAAAUACAUCUAGAGUCUAUGUGUUUUCAAUGGAUUGGUCAUUGGCUCAUUUUUUUCUUCUUGAACUUAAACCAUGGGAAUAAUAUUUACUUUAUGGUUAAUUUGUCUUUUCUCUACAAAUGUGAACACUUUCCAAGAAUGUGGUAGACUAUAUUAAUAAACUGAGUUUGUGACCUGU